UACAGAGGGUGCAAGCGUUGUUCGGAAUUAUUGGGCGUAAAGGGCGCGUAGGCGGUGCGGUAAGUCUGCAGUGAAAUCUCUGGGCUCAACUCAGAGUCUGCUGUAGAAACUGCCGUGCUUGAGUGUGGGAGAGGUGAGUGGAAUUCCCGGUGUAGCGGUGAAAUGCGUAGAUAUCGAUUUGGAACGCCAAUGGUGAAAACAGGUCGCUGGGAGUGUGCUGACGCUG
rnacentral:rRNA from 1 species